CCUACGGGAGGCAGCAGUAGGGAAUUUUCGUCAAUGGGCGCAAGCCUGAACGAGCAAUGCAGCGUGAACGAGGAAGGUCUUCGGAUCGGAAAGUUCUGUUGAAGGGGAAAAAGAGCGGAGAGAGGAAAUGGUCUCCGAUUGAUAUUAGCAUUCGAGGAAGGCACGGCUAACUACGUGACAGCAGCCGCGGUAAUACGUAGGUGGGGAGCGUUAUCCGGAAUGAUGGGGCGUAAAGGGUGCGUGGGCGGCCUGCUAAUUCUGGAGUGAAAGGUACCGGCUCAACCGGUAUAGGCUCUUGAAACUGGCGGGCUAGAGAGCAGGAGAGGGCGGCGGAACUCCAUGUGUAGCGGUAAAAUGCGUAGAUAUCUGGAAGAACACCAGUGGCGAAGGCGGCCGCCUGGCCUGUUACUGACGCUGUGGCACGAAAGCGUGGGGAGCAAAUAGGAUUAGAUACCCUAGUAGUC
rnacentral:rRNA from 1 species